GACGAACGCUCGGUGCGUGCUUAACACAUGCAAGUCGAACGGAAAGGCCCUGCUUUUGUGGGGUGCUCGAGUGGCGAACGGGUGAGUAACACGUGAGUAACCUGCCCUUGACUUUGGGAUAACUUCAGGAAACUGGGGCUAAUACCGGAUAGGAGCUCCUGCUGCAUGGUGGGGGUUGGAAAGUUUCGGCGGUUGGGGAUGGACUCGCGGCUUAUCAGCUUGUUGGUGGGGUAGUGGCUUACCAAGGCUUUGACGGGUAGCCGGCCUGAGAGGGUGACCGGCCACAUUGGGACUGAGAUACGGCCCAGACUCCUACGGGAGGCAGCAGUGGGGAAUAUUGCACAAUGGGCGGAAGCCUGAUGCAGCAACGCCGCGUGCGGGAUGACGGCCUUCGGGUUGUAAACCGCUUUCGCCUGUGACGAAGCGUGAGUGACGGUAAUGGGUAAAGAAGCACCGGCUAACUACGUGCCAGCAGCCGCGGUGAUACGUAGGGUGCGAGCGUUGUCCGGAUUUAUUGGGCGUAAAGGGCUCGUAGGUGGUUGAUCGCGUCGGAAGUGUAAUCUUGGGGCUUAACCCUGAGCGUGCUUUCGAUACGGGUUGACUUGAGGAAGGUAGGGGAGAAUGGAAUUCCUGGUGGAGCGGUGGAAUGCGCAGAUAUCAGGAGGAACACCAGUGGCGAAGGCGGUUCUCUGGGCCUUUCCUGACGCUGAGGAGCGAAAGCGUGGGGAGCGAACAGGCUUAGAUACCCUGGUAGUCCACGCUGUAAACGGUGGGUACUAGGUGUGGGGUCCAUUCCACGGGUUCCGUGCCGUAGCUAACGCUUUAAGUACCCCGCCUGGGGAGUACGGCCGCAAGGCUAAAACUCAAAGGAAUUGACGGGGCCCCGCACAAGCGGCGGAGCAUGCGGAUUAAUUCGAUGCAACGCGUAGAACCUUACCUGGGUUUGACAUGGAUCGGGAGUGCUCAGAGAUGGGUGUGCCUCUUUUGGGGUCGGUUCACAGGUGGUGCAUGGCUGUCGUCAGCUCGUGUCGUGAGAUGUUGGGUUAAGUCCCGCAACGAGCGCAACCCUUGUUCACUGUUGCCAGCACGUUAUGGUGGGGACUCAGUGGAGACCGCCGGGGUCAACUCGGAGGAAGGUGGGGAUGACGUCAAGUCAUCAUGCCCCUUAUGUCCAGGGCUUCACGCAUGCUACAAUGGCUGGUACAGAGAGUGGCGAGCCUGUGAGGGUGAGCGAAUCUCGGAAAGCCGGUCUCAGUUCGGAUUGGGGUCUGCAACUCGACCUCAUGAAGUCGGAGUCGCUAGUAAUCGCAGAUCAGCAACGCUGCGGUGAAUACGUUCCCGGGGC
rnacentral:rRNA from 1 species